AUUCAUGGAAAUACAUUCUGGAAAUCCCUCCAAAGAGUGAGCCCUCAGUACUGGAGGGAGGGAUAACGGUGAGGGAACCAAGCUGCAAGAGAGGCCCACAGAAAUGCCAACGACAAUCACCCUCUUCUUCCCGGCAGCCACCUAGGGGAGGAGGAUGGACAAUGCAGUGUAACUGGGAGGAUUCCAGGGCACAAACCUACUGUGUGAGGACAUCGGGGCCAGGAACAGGGGAGGGAGGGAAUAGGCUUUGGCUGAAUGCUGGGGCUUUUAUGUCCCCAUGAGAAGGAACAGAUAGAAGUCUCUGGUCAAGUAUCAGUGGGAAGCACAGACCUUCUUCAGUUCCUCAGUCCCGUGUAAGGCACUAUCUUCCGUCCCCUCCCUAGAGGCCACCACAGACCUAAGAGGACAGACUCGAGGUCAGUGGCACUGGCUGGGAAGCAGAAGCCUAUGGUUUAUUAGGGCAGGCUACAUUAAGAGAUGGGAAUAAAGGGACAACUAUCACUGAAUGAGUGCCCACUGUUUGCUGGGCACCAUGACAGACACUCCAUAGAGUUGAAAAACCCAAAUACCUACAACAGCCGGUCAGGCGACAUAAGUAGGUAAAGUGGACCAAGUGUAAGGCAAUAAGGAAUGGGGGACUAAGGCAAGCUGGACACAAUCUCUGCCUAAGAAGCACUAUUCAGGCCAAACAAAAUAUUCACAGCCUAACUUGGCUUACCUGUCACCCCCUGCAAUGAGGUAGGUGUAGAGGUUUCUGUCCCAGACCCUUUAUCAGCUGAUUAAAGGACACCUGUCAAGGGGGAGAGGGUGUGAAGGGGUAAUGACAGAGAAGAAACAAUUAUCUUGGAUUUUCAACUCCUAGAGGACAGAGACUAUGUAAUGAUUCUCUUAGACCAGUGCUUAACCGAGUCCUACAUGAAAUCUGGCGCUUAAAGCUGCCACUUGGGGAUGAUUAGUUGGCGGUGCAUGGGAUGUAGAGACAUUGACAACAGACUGGUGGGACUCAGAUGGACUCAGAAGAAAUGGGACUUCAUGGUGACGCCUAGCUUUUGGAAGAGAGAGAGAGCCGGGCUUGGAGUCCAGGUUGAGUGAGGGGGGCACCUGGGAGCUCAGUUAUGGUGAUCUUUAUGGUCCUGAGGGUCACCUCAAGAAGUGGAGAGGGAAGAAAACCGGGGACCAGGGUGCUCACCGACAUGAGGAAUGCCAUCCGGCCAGAGGUGCCCCCUCCACUCAAUACAACCAGCCCCCCAUCUGGCUCCUGAAGAAGGAAAAAGGCGUAUAUCACCAGGGCCUGGCUCAGGUGGGGGAAGCAUAUUCUUUGUCAGUAAUGCAAGAGGAACCGAAAAGACUCCUUAUCCCUCCUCUUAUCACAAAAGUGAACAAAUACACGCAGUGUGGUGUAGCAAAAAGAACACCGGAUUAGAGAAACCAGUUUGACUCCCAUGUCCUGCUCCACUACUUAUUCGAAUCCUUACUUAUCCCCAAAAGAACUGAAAGCAGCUUUGUCAUCUAAAUAAAAGUACAUAAAAAAAGCAGCAUUAUCCAGCAAUUAUUAGCUGGGUGUAUUUGAGCAAGCUACAGUGAUUAUCUUUCUAAGUGUUCGUUUUUUCAUCUGAUAAAAACAAACAAACAAACGGAAAGCAUAUCAACUUCACAGGUUUUUGUGAGGGUAAUAGCUGUGAAAGUAGAUUGUCAAUUAUAAAGUAUUAAGCAGAUAAGUUAUUAUUAUUUUUGAUGAUUAAGAU